GCUUCUGGCUCAUUUUUCAGAUGAGGAAAAUAAACCUCAGAGAGGUGAAGGGACUUGCCAAGGGUUACAUGAGUGGACAAGAACAGAUCAAAACAAGAACUCAAUCCUCCUGCUUCAUCCCCAGGUUCAUCUUCCCUCCUACUCACUGCUGCUAUAAGAGGACUAAGCAAUGACUGGCAGUCCAGCCAGACAGAAAGUUAUCACACCUGGUAGGCAGAUAGAAAUUCUCUGAAGAACAGAAGAAACUGCAGCUCUCUCCCAGGAGUCCUUUGUUAGCUCAGUUUGGGGGUGGGUUAUGUACAUGAGCAAGAGAAUGGGGUCACAAGUUUCCUGGGGAUUAAGCAUGAUAAUGCAGUGUGCCCAGGAAAGAAAAUGAUACUUUGCACUUGUAUACCUUCCACCCACCCAACAAUAAUAAAUAAGACUUUGUACUUUCAGCCAAAUAUUGCAAAGUGCUUAACAAAUGUUUAACUCAUGAAUCCUCAGAACCACCAAGAAAGGAAAACUUUUGAAAGGAAAGAAAGAGGCAUUCCUCCUCAGGAUUCAGUGGGAAACCUGAGGUCGAAGAAAUGAGUCCUCACCUAGCAAAGCAACACUCCUGAUGUGGAAAGACAUUCCUAUGCAGGAACACUCCAAGGUGAACUGGACACAGGAUUUUGAAAAAGGGCAGAGCUGAACCAGAAAAGUCCCUGCCUGUUCUUCCAGCCCUGUAAAUCUACAAAGCUUUCAAAAGAGGCUUCUGGGUGUGCGACCAAGGAUGGAACCCUGCUGUGAUGCUAUGUGCAAGGAAUUAACAUCAUUACUAGAGAAUAAAAGUGAAAUCCCAGAGAAAACCCUGUUGACAGUUUCUUCUAUAUCCUUCUAGAAAUUUGCUAUCCACAUCAAGCAUUUAUAUAUGUCAAUAUUUAUUUAUCUCUGGUAGUCUCAGGACUCACAUGUCUUGGAGACUAGCAUAAAGCAUAUUUCCUCCUUACACCAGCCAGAAUGGCCAUCAUCCAAAAGUCUACAAACAAUAAGUGCUGGAGAGGGUAUGGAG